ACGUACACUCCUACGGGAGGCAGCAGUGGGGAAUAUUGCACAAUGGGCGCAAGCCUGAUGCAGCCAUGCCGCGUGUAUGAAGAAGGCCUUCGGGUUGUAAAGUACUUUCAGCGGGGAGGAAGGUGUUGAGGUUAAUAACCUCAGCAAUUGACGUUACCCGCAGAAGAAGCACCGGCUAACUCCGUGCCAGCAGCCGCGGUAAUACGGAGGGUGCAAGCGUUAAUCGGAAUUACUGGGCGUAAAGCGCACGCAGGCGGUCUGUCAAGUCGGAUGUGAAAUCCCCGGGCUCAACCUGGGAACUGCAUUCGAAACUGGCAGGCUAGAGUCUUGUAGAGGGGGGUAGAAUUCCAGGUGUAGCGGUGAAAUGCGUAGAGAUCUGGAGGAAUACCGGUGGCGAAGGCGGCCCCCUGGACAAAGACUGACGCUCAGGUGCGAAAGCGUGGGGAGCAAACAGGAUUAGAUACCCCUGUAGUCCCA
rnacentral:rRNA from 1 species